rnacentral:rRNA from 1 species
UUACCUCAGUAACGGCGAGUGAAGCGGUAACAGCUCAAAUUUGAAAUCUGGGUCUUUCAGGCUCCGAGUUGUAAUUUGUAGAAGAUGCUUUGGGUGCGGUCCCGGUCUAAGUUCCUUGGAACAGGACGUCAUAGAGGGUGAGAAUCCCGUAUGUGAUCGGUGGCUUGCGCCCGUGUAAAGCUCUUUCGACGAGUCGGGUUGUUUGGGAAUGCAGCUCUAAAUGGGUGGUAAAUUUCAUCUAAAGCUAAAUAUUGGCCAGAGACCGAUAGCGCACAAGUAGAGUGAUCGAAAGAUGAAAAGCACUUUGGAAAGAGAGUUAAACAGUACGUGAAAUUGUUGAAAGGGAAGCGCUUGCAACCAGACUUGCGCGGGGUUGAUCAUCCGGGGUUCUCCCCGGUGCACUCGGCCUCGCUCAGGCCAGCAUCGGUUUCGGUGGUUGGAUAAAGGCCUUGGGAAUGUGACUUCUUUCGGGGAGUGUUAUAGCCCUCGGUGCAAUGCAGCCUACCGGGACCGAGGACCGCGCUUCGGCUAGGAUGCUGGCGUAAUGGUUGUAAGCGACCCGUCUUGAAACACGGACCAAGGAGUCUAACAUCUAUGCGAGUGUUUGGGCGUCAAACCCAUACGCGUAAUGAAAGUGAACGGAGGUGAGAACCCUUAAGGGUGCAUCAUCGACCGAUCCUGAUGUCUUCGGAUGGAUUUGAGUAAGAGCAUAGCUGUUGGGACCCGAAAGAUGGUGAACUAUGCCUGAAUAGGGUGAAGCCAGAGGAAACUCUGGUGGAGGCUCGCAGCGGUUCUGACGUGCAAAUCGAUCGUCAAAUUUGGGCAUAGGGGCGAAAGAC